GAGCGAAGGUACUCGCAUGCAUACCGGCCUUGUUACACACACACACACGCACGCACAUCUUCGAAACCGCAUACAUACACAGACACGUACAGCGCACGUGCACGCAGACGUACAUCGAUCGCGCGCACAUCUGCCGUUGCACACACUAACCGCUUUCCUCGUAAAUCUCACGGACACGCGUGCGUGCACCUAUCCGCCUCACCCUGCACUUUUAGCUGCUUGAGAGUCUUACGUGCGUUGAGCUCCUGUAGUCCUCUAUUACGCGCCGCACCCCUCUUACACGCCCGAGCACACACACACACACACACACGGGCAUCUCUCUCUCUUUCUCCGUCUCUUCCCCUUCAGCCUACGACAGCCUUGCAGCGUGCGUCUUCGCACGUAGUCGAGGACGUCUCUCCACGCAUGCGUGACUGCGCGUCUUCGACCUGUCAGCGCGCGCGCUUCGUGAAUCGUUCUUUCCAUUGUGUUGCUGCCCCCUCUGAGCCCUGCACUUGUGUGCGUGCUUGACGUGCCCUCUCAGCUCACACACACGCGCACACACACAUACUGUAUCGGCGGCGCCUCGGUGCGCGUGCGUCGUGGUUGCUGACCGUCGUUUCCCCUGCUCUUCCUCCGCCUGCGGCACCUGCGCCCGCCGUCGAGAAGGAUGAUCUCGACCCUCGGCGGCCUCUUCAACCUCAAUCACUUCGACCAGUCAAGCUGCGCCAACGAUGUCAUUGUGAUACGCCACAAGGAUGGCUCGCUGCGCAGCACCCCCUUCAACGUGCGCUUCGGGCGGGCGCAGAUGUGGAGCUACGUCGGUCGCGCCGUGCAGGUGGAGGUGAACGGUGAGCUGACGGCUGCCGUGAUGAAGAUCGGCAAGGGUGGCAAGGCCUACUGGCUGCAGCCAACCUACGGCGCCUUCGGCGAGGCCAGCCACGGUACGGCGGCGGCCAAACAAUCUGAGAAAGCCGGAGGCGGCAUGCUGCCUGCCGCCGCUGCCGUGGCGGGGGUGUCGGGCGCCGGCUGUGCCGCAAAGGGCGACGAAGAGGAGCUGGAUACCGUGGGCUCGCUUGUCAGUGCUGUGGAGGAAGUCGAGACGUUGGUGCUGAACACGGCGGAGCUGCAGCACCUCCCUAUCCGCCCCGAGUCGCCCCCAGAGCUGCCGUCCUUUUCAGCAGCGGGUUGCGACGCUUGGGAAACAGGCGAAGACGCAGCCGCUGAAGUUUCGCCGCCAUCGGCGGCGCUGCCACCUGGCCAGCGGCACUCCCCCACUGGCGCCCCGUGCCCUGCGAAAGAAAGCGACGCCAAGCCGUUUUCUAGCGAUGCGGGCCGUCAACGGAGGCCCGGCGAUCACCACUCCCGCUGUCAGGGCCCCGGCUCCCGUCUACCGCUUCUCCACACAGCCGAUGAUGGGCAUCUCACCAUCGAGACGCGCGCUAUCCACUCGGCCGGCGACGCGCAGGAGGCGCGACUCGCUCUUCGUGCGAUGGCGGCAGCAGAGAAGUCGCGAAAGCGGCUGUCGAAGAUGGGCUUUGGCGACGACCCGUACCUGCUGAAGACCGCGCGGGAGGAAGGCCACCUGGGCGACGACGAGGGCGACGACGAGGGCGACGACGAGGGCGACGACGACGGCCACCUCGGUGGCAACCGUCCCGAACCGCCCGCGGUCGAGAUCGUGGUGGACGCUGCGGAUGUGUCGCCCUCUUCGCGUGAAGCGACGGUGAGGGCUGCCGGUGACGGUAGUUUCCCACAGGCAUCGCUCAUCGUCACGCCGGUGGCUGCAGGUGAUGGCACUGACACACAAACCAUCGACCAGCUUGUGGCCCGACCCGCGACGAGGACGGAGGAAGGUGAGUCAGCGGGCCUGGCCCCGGCGCCGUCGUCGCCGCCGCAACCGCCUGUGGAAGCAGCCACCGCAGCGUCAUCGGCCACCUCGGUGACGGGGAGCACGGAUAGCUACAAGGUGGUGGACGAGGAUGCCUACUUUCUCGACCCCAUGGACACCGACCCCGACUACGCCGCGCUCUACGGAGAGGAAGAAGUGGCUCUGCUGAAGGGCGCGUCCUUCGAAAGCAGCGUCACGAGCGGUGUGUCGCCGCCUGACAUUUCCAUUAUGCUGGGCAACAUCGCUGCUGACGCAGCCACCACGCACCGCGGAUCGGCGAGUGCCAGCGAAGGUGAAUCGUGCUCUGCAGUGGAAGGCAGUCGUGUGAGCCGCAUCAGUGCGUCGCUUCUCCUAGAGCCACAGACUGUCGGAGCAGCGACCUCCUUCAUCAAGCAGCCGCCGCUGCCGUCUUUGCCGUCGCCAUCACAACCGACAGCCGAGAAUCAGGUCAGCAGCAGCGCCAAGGACGCCGACAAAGUCGCUGUGUCCCACGCGAGCACCGGCGUCUUGCACGCCCCCGAGGAGGUCACGGAUGCAGAGGGGCGCCCCGUGAGGCUGACGCCCACCGCCGGCGGCGCCGGUGGCGGCCCGUACUUCACCCGCACCAUUAUCCCGGUAGAAGCGGAUCUGUGGAAGCUGCACCUCAAGGAGGGCUGCAACACUGUCCGCUACCUGGCCCGCAAGGACAAGGGCGACAUUGUGUCAAUCUCGUGCAACAUAUUCCUCUGGAACUGGACGGACCGCCUCGUGGUGAGCGACGUGGACGGCACGAUCACGAAGAGCGACUUGCUCGGCCACUUCUAUGCGAUGCUGGGCAAAGGUGCAGACUGGACGCACCCCGGUAUCUGCAAUCUCUACUCCAAGAUUGAGCGCAACGGGUAUCGCAUGGUGUACCUGACGGCCCGCAGCGUGUCGCAGAUCAACCAAACGAAGUCGUACCUCUUCACGCUGCAGCAGGACGGGGUGCGGCUGCCGAUGGGCCCGGUGCUAACGGCACCGCAGCGCUUCUUCACUGCACUCACGCAAGAGGUAUCGAAGCAGUCUCAUGUCUUCAAGAUUGCGUGCCUCACGAGUGUGCGCGCCGCCUUUCCGCCCAGCACAAAGCCCUUCUUCGCCGGCUUUGGCAACCGAUACAACGACGUCAUCAGCUACGAUGCGGCGGGAAUCCCGACGCACAAGAUCUUCAUUAUUGACCCCUCGAGCGUGCUGCACGUGUGCCUGGUGCGGCAGACGUACCGCGACCUCGGCCACCUUGUCGACGUGACGUUUCCGCCCGUUAGGCGGCACCCCGUCGUUCUGCGCGCGCCACGGCAUCUUCAGCGAACCCACGGCACAGGGACGAGUACGUCGCCAGCUAAGGAUGCCGCGCCCGGUGGGCGCGACCGACACGCCUACACGCGCAGUCUGCUACACCGAUCUUCCUCUGCGUCGUCGUCCUCGGCCACCUCGCUUUCCUCCGCAGCGUCUUCGUCGUCGGACUCUCUGGAUCUGCGCGAGGAGGCGAGCGGCGGCGCCUCCGACUGUGGCGCGGAGGGCGCCCCCCACCACACGUCCGGGUCUGGGGCCUCCCCCGGUGGCGGCUCUCUCGCGGGCUGCCAUGCAUCCGCGGCGUUCAGCUUGGUGGAUUCGGAGCGUGUCGACAUGGUCGCCGCGAGCGCGCUGAGCGGCUCCGCUGCCAGCCCGGGAGAGCCGCCGGAACUCGACAAGGGCGGCGGCCCUACGCUCACCGGACUGCUUCCGGGGGCUGCUGCUGAGCUGUGGGCCCCACCAGUCCCCACAGCGGCCUCCUCCGCAGUGAUCUCGAGCCGCCCGCCCGGGGCCGAAAAAACAGGCGCUCCGUCGACCGCCUCUGCCUUGCCUGCAGUGAAGGCCAGCACCAGUGCCGCCAGCGCGCACAGGCCCAAGUACAACUAUGGCCAUCGCGCAACCUUCGCUGAGCUGAACGACGACGACGAUGACGUGUUCCAGGACGAGGAGGAGGUGCCGGCGGACCCCGAGUUUUCGUCCUUCGUGUACUGGCGCAUGGACCCACGCGACCUCAUCACCGUCCCCGCGGCGACAUCGAAGCCCUCUGCCUCUGCGACACGUGCCAACACCAAGGAGACAUCGGAGAAGGAGAAGCCGGGCGCGGUGGCCAGUGGCACCGAUGCGCCGAAGAAGGUCGCCACAACCACCGCGGCUGCCGCAGCUUCCACCGAAGACAAUGGCCACAUGAAGUCAGCGGCGGCAGCGGCACCCUCAGCACCUACACAGACGGGAGGCGCCGCCUUCGACACGGCGAGCGCAGGUGCAGCGUCGCCGAGCGGAGUCUCCGCUGCCAGCGAUGCAGCAGCACCGAGGCCCGGCGGCGGUGACGGCAGCCGCCUCUCGCUUUUCUCACUUACGGUUUCGAACUCCGGCACCGGGCCGCCGAUGCAAGGGGCGACGAACUCGCUCGACAAAGGCCGAGCGGGAGGCUCUGCCACGGGCGCGGCGGCGAUGACGGGACUGACUUCACACGAUACCCUCUCGGAAAUGCAGAAGCCACAACCGCGGACCCCCGGCAGGCCCGGCAGCCCGUACAACGACUCGGAGGGAGCGGCGGAGACAAACGUGGACGCGGUCAGGCUAUCACUCCUGCCGCAAUCACUACCACCGCCGCCGCCGCCGACGACGCAGCCUGCCGCGAUCUUGCCGUCCACCAGCGGGGGUGGCGGCAGCCGUGGCUUCUUUUCCGCUUUCUCGUUCGGACGCAGUCGCGUCGUCGAGUCGCCGUUGUCGCCCACCUCGCAGAGGGCCGCGCAGUUGCGUGAGGACGCAAAGCAGCGCGCGCUAUCGCACCCCGACGCGCAGUACUACUGUGUGGCGCAGCAGCAGCCCGCGCCGCAGCUGGCGCCGUUCCCUGGCGACGGCACAUCAUCGGCGAAAGCUAGCGCUCCGGCACCGCCGCCAAAGUGAAGCGGCGCUGCCGCGGCGGCGAAGGCGAUGAUUCUCUUCACGACAGAGUUUGCCGGUGCUACAUCAGCACCCUCCAUCGACCCGUUGUCGCCCCCUCCCCUUCCCCUCCCUCCUCUCUCUCUCUCUCCCUUUCGCCCGCCCACCCGCAAACCUUCUCCGUCCGUCUAUCAGUGUUUCCAUCUCUUUCUGUAUCUCUCUGUGUGCGUACGCUUGUGUGCAACUUGCAGUGUUGUUUCGUGCCCAGCUAUUGCAAACCCCUCCUUCCUUUCCUUUCCCUGCCCUCGCCCUCUCGCCUUUCGGUUCACACCGCUGUGCGUUUGAGCUGUGCGUGCGCGUCUCUGUCCUGGAUGCUGCCCUUGGGUGAGGAGAGAGGAAGAGGCCGCGGUGGCGUGGCUGUCGCGCGGGAGGGUGUGUGGGAGGGUGUGUGCACUGUGCAGCUCUCUCCUGCAAGCAGAAGGGCCGCAUGUACGUGCUCACGCGCUCAAGCCAGUCUCGCGCGCGCUGCGAGAGUGUGCGUGCUCGUGUGAGGGUUCGCGGAAUCGGUCGCUCAUGCUUAUGUCCGUCUUGGUGUUGUGCUCGCGAGGCGGAGCAGCGGCAUUCCGUCGCCCCUCCUCUUUCUUUGCUUCUCUGUUCUUCAAUUCGCGAUCUCACAGAGGCCCGCUGCUCACACCCUCCCUCUCCCUCCCUUUCCCACCUCUCGGCCACCGGUCGGCUCCGUUCCCUCUGCCGUCGAGAAAGGACGGGCAUGUCCAGCGCCUCCCUUUCUCUCUCGCGCGCGCGCGUCUUCUGUUGCUUGC
rnacentral:misc_RNA from 1 species